AAAUAGAAAUUGUUCCCGUUAACAUAAAUGUUAUCAAAUACCACCGAAAUGGCAAGAAAUAAAUUUAUGAAACAGAAUGUUUAUCAUUCGACCCUAAGUCUUAUUUAACUAAUAAUAAAAGUGCGAGUGGCAAACAUUAAUCAGUUUGUAUGCUCUCCUCUUUUGUCCCCUAUCAAUUUCUACACUAAGAAAGAAGAAAAACUUUAAUAUAGUAGAUGACAACUACUAAUAACAGCAGCGCCCAAGCUGCAUUCCGGAGUUGGAUGUUGGAACGCCUUUGAUGAGUCUGCAGUUGCCAAGGAAGCUGCUGCUUAGCCUGCUGUAGCUGCUGCUGCAGAAGCUGUUGUUUGAGUUGCUGCUGCAUUUGAGGUUGCUGAUAUUGUUGCUUAAGCUGCUGUGUCUGUAGCAUCUGUUGUUCCUGUUGCUGUUUGAGAGGCUGACAUUGAAGCAUAUUGGAAUUAGACUGAUGUUUGUUGACAUUUGAUUGUAACAUGUAUACCCCACCCUGUUGCUGCAUGGUGCUCAUAUUCACCUGUUGUGGAGCAACAGGAUUCUGCUGCAUAGAUCCCAUACCAAUCACCUGCAUUGUACUCGAGGCAUUACCUGUUCCAGAGUCCAUAUUGGAAUUCGGCUGUAGGGAAUCAAUCAUGGUUUGCUGUGCAUUUGAAACCCCAGACAAAGACAUGGAAUAAUGAUUCAAAUUUCCCAUAUUGUUCUGCUGCAUUGAUGCUACAGAACCUUGUAAAUUCAUUGAUUCUAAUUGAGGGUUCAUUUGAUUUUCAUGUGACUGUACUUGAGUAGUUUGAGGUUGCAAUUGCUGCUGCUGCUGCUGCUGCUGCAUUGAGUGCACAUGAGGAGGGGCAAGUUGCCCUUGCUGCAUAGCUACUUUCCUGGGCCUACUUGUGUUGAUAAAGUUUAUAAUCUGUUUCUCAAAACUAACCAGCUUCUCCUUGAAAGAAGGCACUAUAUCAGCUUUGUUAACGUGCAAAAUAGCAAUUACGCGCUCCAACAUCAAUUUAAAAUUUUUCAAUUUGUCAAGCUGAUCUGACUUUGGCUGUAGCGGAAGAGACUCAUGCUGCAAUGUAUAAGAAUAAAAUAUGAUAAGAAAGAGAUCAAAAAGGAUGAUAGACCAUUUAAAGAUUUAAAAAUCAAUUAUUAGUCUGCCUUUCUUAAGAAAUGUUUACUCCAUGUAACAAAUUAGGAAAGAAUCAAAAUUAAGCAAUAACUUUCUCGGAAUGUUCCCAAUAGCAGACUUCAUUCACAUACCUGCUGUAACUUCAUAGAGAUUUUCUGGUACAUCUCAUUCAAUUCAGGUAAAUAUGUGUCCCUCAUGGAUUUCAUCUGCAACAAAAAUAAGUAGUGUAUUGAUCAAUCCAAACUCCUCCCAGGUCGUUUUCUUCUACCAAUCAAAUAACAUAUAUCUUCCAAUACUUUAUUGAGAUAAAUAACUGCAGACACUCACAUUACCAGCAGACAACUUACAGUAAGUUCCACUGAUAAUAUUUCUCCAAGGCUAAUUAUCAUAUGAUCUAUACAUUUUUAGCUACAAUCAUCUUCCAAGAGCAAAGAAACAUGAAAUAAGGAACAGGAAGAAGAAUGAAAGAGAGGACAAAAUGACUUAGCAUUUUCGAAUUACUGGAAACAGAUAAUCACAUGUUAGUACUCACAAUAAAUAUCUAAAUAAAGUUCAACUCUUAUAUCAGACUAGACAGCAUCAGUGUCAUUUAUGCAUAAGCCAAAUAUGAAGAAUAAUAAAGAUUAGCAACUUGCAUAAAGCUACUGUUUCAUCAGAAUGCCAACCACCACCUGGAUAACAUUAAAAAAAGCAACUAAAACAGGAAAAGGAGAUUGACUGACACGGACAAAAUUAUGGCAAUUUCUUUUCUACAUUAAGACAUCAAUGGCUUUAUCUUUUAUUACUCCUUAAUAAAGGAAAAACAGCAAUCUUAACGCAACACAGAAACAUUCUUAAGAAAACACGAUUCAGUAGUUAAAUGACUUCUCUUUCCAUUUCACAAAACUACUCUUUUUCCCUCUUCAUAAUGUCGUGAGAAAAAGGGGAAUGCCGAUCAGAAACCACUCUGUGGCAACUUCUCAUGCUUAACUUACAGAUUAAUAGCAGCAUUAUCGAUACCUGAUCCUCACAACAUAUAAGCUUGGCUAGACAUUGCAGUUUUUAAUAACAAGAAUUGUUAGAUAAAUGUUAAUGCGACUGGCCUGGAGUCACUACGUAAAUAGAAAUUCACCUUUGGUGGAGGGAUUCCUAGGUUUACAAACCAUAAGCACCUGUCCAUACUACACUACGUAAAGAAUUGGCUAACGAAAUUCCACUCAAGGGCUUUCAAAUUUCUCUGAUUUAAAUUCCUGUCACCAAAAUGUAUGAUGUUAUACAAAUUCUAGCAAGGGAAUUGGCUCCUGUUCAGCAGUUCUUAUUGUCAUACUAGUUAGUGCACGAGGCCACAUUACUAUCCCCAAAUUAUAGUUCAUUAUGCAACUUCCCCACAUUCUGAUACUUUGGACAAAAGAUUAUGCUGUCGACAUUCUAUUGCCAAAUACCCAUUUCUGUCUCACAGCUAUAUUUGCUAUCGAGUCAAUAUUCAAACCAAUAUCUCAUGUGAAUGAAUUCCUUUCCCUGGCUAGACCUCAUAAAACUACUAAUACUCUUAUCUGUGCCUUUGUACAUUUGUAUCCUACUAAAUCAUAUAUGUAAAGUCUAGCAAGAAAGGUCAGUCAUCAACAAACUAUUAAAACCUGUAGAAAAAUAUGAGAAGUAUCACACAUAAUACAUGCAUUCCAUAAAAUUUAAUGAAUAAAACUAAACAGUGGUACAAAACCUUUUGGUAAGCCUCCUCUUGCCAGUCACCCCCAGCCGAAUGCCCCGUUUGGGCAGAGCUAUCAGUAGACACUACAAAAGUAGAAGAAUAACUCUUCAUGGACUGUGUUGACUGUGGAACUGAAGACUGUUGAUUUUGUUGGACACCAGCUAGAGGAGCUGGUUGCAUUGAUGGCGGCUGCAUGACAGAAGAUGUUUGGAGGACAGACUGCUGAGAAGCCUGCAGCUGAGUCGGCUGUAGCAUAUUCUGUUGCUGCUGUUGCUGCUGCUGUUGUUGGAAUUGAGAUGACAUGAGCGAAUGUGGGACUGGCUGAAGCUUCUGCUUCAAAAGCUGCUGUUGGUAUUGCUGCUGCUGGUAAAUAUACUGCUGUGAAUUCUGAGACUGUUCUUGUUGCUGUAGGGAAACCAUCUGUUGCCUAGCUUGAAGUUGCUGAGAAUUUACGAACAUGUUGCUAUUGACACCUUGGCCCAUUGAGUUCCCCAGUGAGUUCUGAGAAACACUAGGCAUAUUUUGCAUGUUGUUGUUUUGUCCAAUAGUAUUCGGGAUGGAAGAUUGGUUCAAGCCAGAGACAGAUGGCAAUGUAGACGAUAGACUGGCUGAAGCCUGAACUCCAGAUGGAACAUUAUUCUGAAUAUUCUGAACCAAUAACUGUUGACGUGCUUGAGGCUGAUUCACAGCUAAGGAAUUAGGAAUUGAUUGACUUUGAUUUUGAAUUUGUGACUGCAUAACUUGAGAUGACAUACAAUAUAUACAAGUCAUGUUAGUCAAUCAAGAAACCAACCAAUUCAGUACAGCGGCAUUAACUACAAAUAGCACGAAGAGACAAUGAAUGAGAGAUAAAUGCACCACAAGUACGACCUUAGACCAUUAUGUAUUCCAACUUGAAAUUUUCUGAGCAAGUGAUACUGGAUGGAUAAUGGACAUGCAAACACAGACAAACAAUGACCACUCAUUUUCUUUUCAACAAAUACUAAAUAAAAGUCUUUGUGAAAUUUAUGUACUUGAAUUGAUCUUGAAAUUUACAAAAAUAAAUAAAUAAAGGACAAAGGUAAUCAUCUUUUCAAGCACACAUCUUCUGAUGCCAUAGGAGACUCACUUUAACAAAGAAGAAAGAUAAAAUUUGAGGCCAAAAAAGUGGGAGGAAGUUACAAAAGAUGCAAGCAGUUGUCCCUCUCUAGUAAAACUUAAGUCUUGCUGCCACUCUUUGAAAAACUUGCUCUUCACAAAUGCAAAUCUAAUUCUACUGACAAAACAAACUGAUUUUUAGUUCUUUAAUCAAUAUAUUACAAAUUUAAAAGGGAUAUUCAAAUGUGCCACUGCCCAUGGUAUAAACGUGCAUUUGAGGUUACAAAUGAGCAAGAUUGGAAAAAAUUUAUUAAAUUCAGGUUACUACAAUGAAAAUCCACAAGCAGCAUGGCUUGUAGUGAGUAUACAUGUGUACUGUGUAAAGCCCAGUAAAAGCAACAACAGGGCAAGUCCUAAAAUGUGUUAUGCUAAUGCACUUAAGUCCUAAAUUUUCAUUUUGUGCAUUUAAGCAUAAAACUUGUAAAUGUCGAUGCCCUUUAGUCAUUCCAUUAACUCCGUCAAUUUUAAGUCGGAUGGAAGAUUUCACAUGGCUUUCUUUUACGGUUUUCUUAAGCCAAAGUGGCUGUUGAUAUUAUAAAAAAAAAGGACACCUAGAUUUUCUGCCCACUAAAACCUAAUGCAGACAACAGAGCUAACAGAAGACCUAAAGUAAAUGACUAUCACAAGUCUUAGGACUUAAGUGCACAAAAUAAAAGUUUUAGGACUCAAAUGCCUCUAUCAUAACAAGUUUCAAGACUCCUGUUGUAAUGUCCCCCAAAAACUAUGUAUACGAAAAAAUAGUACAAUUACAUAAAUGAAUAAACACUAUAUGAGGGGAUAACAAAAUGAAAAUUCUAAUUCCUACAUUAAUGAUACCAAAUAACAGGAACUUAAGUCGUACCCGGGUCAUUACUGCUAUUCCCAGCAGGGUUAGAUGGCGAAGCAUUAGGUAUGGUAUUCUGAGACUUUGUCUCCAUUGUCAGCAUCUUCAAAGAUAUCUUCCUUAAAUAAUCGGACUAAAAGGGAAAGGAAGCAGAAAUCACUUCAUCACUUAAUCAAAUUGGAAAGAAAAUGAAGCAUAUAUAAAACCUUAGCACAAUAUUACAGCAAUGAGUAAACCUAAUUUCCCUGGGGCAAAGCUAAACGUAAAUAUUUAACAGUUCCGGUUACUAUAUGGAUGCAUGCAUGAAUGAUAAAAAUUCUCAACAAAUUAUGCAAACAAAAGAACGCUUCUCUUAAUUCUAAGCACAAGCCUAUCCAGUUUGUUUAUGCAUCCUCUAUCCACAUAGAAAUUUUGUACCAAUUAAUCACAAAAGGCAUGGACAUCAUAUAAUACCUGGCUUGUUGCAGCAGUGUAAAUUUUUUCCUCAAAUCGCACGGCAAUUUUCUUGAGUUCUUGCAAACCCUCUGGACCAGAAACAGGAAGGUGUCUCUUCAAGGUCUCCAUUCUGCAUAUCAAAAGAGAUUUGCACUUGAGACGAAAUUCUUCUUACCAAUAAUUUUUUCUUUCCUCGACGAUAAAUAAGAUUUCACUAAGAAGGUACCAAAGGGGUGGCACCCCUGACAGAAUGGCUUUAGGUAGAAGCCACCCAUAAACAAAUUCAUGGACAAAAGACUUUUUUUAACAUUUCCAACAAACUAGACAUAUGAAACCGGACUUUCCUGCUACCAAAAGUGAGGAGUGUACAACCAAUUAUCCCUAAAAAGAAUCCCACAAGUAUUCAAUUCCUUGAAAUGCCCUUUUGUUCCUCUCUCUCUCUCCAAAUGAGCCUAAAAAAAGGAGAAAUGGUGAUCACUCUCUUUCCGAGCCACAAACUGAAAGCCCCUCUCCAAGCCCAAAUUUCAUGUCGCAAUGUUCACUCCCAAUAUUGCAAAAACUGCAGCCCAGAAUCUUUCUGGUGCAGGUACAAUGUCAAAUUGAGUGAUUCACGCUCUCUUCUUCAGUCGUUGCACAAAAAACACCCAUUAGCCUGUACUUUCCCCUCCUCUGAGCAUUAUUUAAAGUAAGAAUACAUCCCCAAGCAUCUCAAGCAAAAAACGAAGCAUUCAAUGGGACCUUGACUUUCCAAAUAGAUGUACAUGGGAAAAGUGUACUCUGUCGUAAUAGCAUCUGAGUAGAAGGAGAUCAGAACAAUAGCAUUUGACAGAAAAAGUUCCCAGAGUCACAGCAAUUCCACGUAGCCCAUCGUCCUCAAAUCUAACCUCGCUUGAUAAGACAACCCAAAAAAAUUCAAGAAGCUUCAUGCUUCUAAUCUAGAGCACUACGCAAGAUAUUAAUCUCCCACGUCGUUUCUCCCAAAAAUCAUCCACCCUAGCUCUCUUGUUUCUUUCUAGUGCAUACCCAUCCAGGAAUAACUGUUUGAACGCAGUGCCUCCACAGCAUAUGUCAUCCCAUGACAUAGUACUCCUACUAUUCCCCAACUCAAAUAGAAAGUCUGCUUUUGAAAGCAUCCCAUCCUUGCUCAAUGUCGAAUCCAUGUGCUCCUCAACUAGAUUUAGUCAUCUAAUCUGUAUCUUUGAAACCAAGUACCCUCCUCCAGUUCUAGUUUUCUCCCCAUUAAAUCAACACAACCAUUUCCCAAGCAAAGCUUCAUAUACAAGAACCAACGACUUUACCCCAACCCCUCAUUAACACCUCAUUGCCCACAUACCUCUUCCAGUAACAGCUUAUACAGACCAAUAAAUCUGAGAUCAAUACAAGAUAAUACAACCUACAAGCAAUGAGACGCUUAAAAUUCCUCAGGUUCCGGAUACAUGAAUUUUUGUUACCAGCAUAACAGGAAAUCAUCCUGCAACUGAUUUCCUCCCAAACCUUACCUCUACACUUAAGAAAGAAUUACAUCCAAAAUACAAUAACAAGAGUGGCCCCCCCUACAUACCUGCCAAAUCCCACAUCGCAACCUAACCCAAACUAUCUAACCAAAUAGAAUUUACAGCGAAAGAUUCCUCAGAAUUCACGUUGGGCCUCGACCAAUUAACAGGACCAUAUUGCAAAACCAUUACUUCCUUUAACAUACUAAACCCUCGGAAAUCACUCCUAAGCAAGGAUCCCUCAUGAACUCCACACUUCUCCCUGCAAACCGAUGAGACAUUAAAAGACCCAAGCGAAGGAAGGAGGCACUCACAUCGUUUUGACGACCCUAUCCCGCGAUUCGAGCGGCAACUCAGCCCUCCAAUCGCCCCCGUCGAGCUCAGCUUCAGUGCCCCCGCCUCCCACACCGGCCGGCGGCGUCGGCCUCCAGUCAUUGUUAUCCAUCAUUAUCACUCCUCAACGAAACCCAACACUCGCAAGGGCCUUAUACAAGCAACAAAAACCCACAAUCAGCACACACCCACCCGAACGCAGAUUCAGGAACCCAAGAAAGAACCCUCCACCCACGUCCUCCCAAAAAGCCCUAGGAAACCCAAAAACAAGAGUCGAUGAAAAGCACGAAAGAUCACUCUUUGGCCGAAAUGCGAAGGGGGGGGGGAGAGCGAGGGAAGGGACGCAAGUCGAGAUGAUUGGGCGAGAGGAACCCAAAAAGCAAGGCUGGCUUGUCUGUUCUCUCUGGUUCCUUAUUUUCUUCGCCUGAGGGAAGGUGGAUUUGAUUUGGACCUCCUCGUCCGAAAACGGGUCGGACCGGGUCACGGGUAAUGGAUCGGGUUCUAGGUCGCCCUAGGCCAGACCAAUACUUUUUUGAAAAAUUGACUUCAUUUCCAACAUUUAUUCCAAAAUUUCUCCUUAACUAAUAGUCCUAAUUGUGAAUUUAAGCUCCAACAUCGAUUCUUUUUUAGCAUAAUGUGGUGGGGGUCUUUGGCUCUAGCUAAAGUUUCUCUAAAUGCUACUUAACUGAAGCCUGAAGCCGCUCAUGCUUCAAUUGAGCAAUUAAUCCACGGAUUCUACAUUAAUUAAGAAAAUAUGCUUCAAUUGAGCAAUUAACCCAUAGAUACUUUAGAAUGAUCACUUAAAAGUAGCGACAACUUUCAAACUUAGUGUCUAAUCUAGAAAUGACCAUAGUGAUCCUAAGAAUAUUAAAAUUAAGCCAAUAAUACUUGUUCUUCCUCAAGAUUAUGAAAAAAAAAAAUUGUUCCACUUUUCACUUAUGGCCCAAUUCACUUUACUCUUAAAAAGUAGCAAUUUUUCAUUGCCCAUGGAACCCACUUCUCUUUUUAAUUCUAGAAAAUAUAAUAAUCAUUCGAACAAUUGUUCAGCAAACCUUCUUAAUCUUAUCAAGAGAGAGAAAAUAAGUGUACACGUACAUGGCGUGCUUGAGAUCUUGUCGUUAUUUAAUUUUCUUUAAAUUGUUGUCAUAAGCCAAUAUCAAACCAUUAUCAAAAAUCAAUUAUGGCAGAAAUUCUCCAGUUCAGUCUCAUCACAAUGAAUAACCAUAGGAUUGAAUAAAGGACAUGUUUUUUUUACUUACAAGAGCCUUUUCUUAUAGCCUUCCAUUCUAAAUUUCAAAAUAUAAAAGAAUCUCUAUAAUGACCAUAAAAGUAACACAUUCAUAUAGUUGGAAAUGAAAGUCAAAUAUAAAACACUACAAAAGGAAACGAAGAACAGGCAUAAGCCAAUUUCUAAUCACCUAUUUAUUGAAUAAACAUUGAACCUACCUAACUUUCAAAACAUAAACAAUAAUAUUGUUAUAGAGGCAAAAAAUUAAAAAAGGACUCCUUGGCUGAUUUAAAAGCAUCCUCGAUACCUCUUCCCCUUGGAAAAGGCAAAUAAGAAGAGAGAGAGAGAGAAACUUUCAAAACAUAAACAAUAAUAUUGUUAUAGAGGCAAGGCGAAAAAUUAAAAAAGGACUCCUUGGCUGAUUUAAAAGCAUCGUCGAUACUUCUUCCCCUUGGAAAAAGGCAAAUAAGAGAGAGAGAGAGAGAGAGAGAGAGAGAGAGAGAGAGAGAGAGAGAGAGAGAGAGAGAGAGAGAGAAGAAGAAGAAGAAGAAGAAGAAGAAGAAGCCCUCAGGCUUCGCCAGCCCUCAAGCUUCGCUAGCCCCUUCUUUUCGAAUCAAGUAACAAAAUCUAUGGUGAUAAAGUCAUUACUAAUAGCUCGAAAACUUUCUUAUAAUCUUGCACCGCUUGCACUUGUCGACAAAAAGCAAACACAAACACUACAAUUAGGGUCUCCCGGUACUCACAGAAAAUCGGGUGCCUUGCGCAGCUCUCUCUUGUUUAUUUUGUUAUUCAUUUUUUUCCGAACUUUUACUUUAUACGUGAUUUAUUGAAUUUAUAUUUAUGGAGAUUACAUAAAAAUAUACACUCUUAUCCAUUUCAUAAUCCAUUUAUUCAUGCAUCCAUAAUUUGCACUUGCAUGGAUUAUCGUACAUUUAAAGCAAAGUCCAACUCUUUGACUGAGCUUUUCCCUACUCUUUUAAGCUCAAAAUUUGCGUGAUGUGAGUUGAGCAGCAGAUCCACCAUCUGCACCAUAUUUGACUCAAAAUAUUUUCAAAGAACAUAAAUCACUUGUUAAAGUGUGAGAGGGUUAUUUUGAUCAUUAAUACUGAGAAGGUUAUUAUGGUCAUUAAGUGUUAUUUAAUUAAUAUUAAAGUGUGAGGAGUGGCAAACACUAAUCAAUGUGUAUGCUCUCUUCUUUUGUUCUAUAUCAAUUUCUACAUGGUAUCAAAGCCAUAGUAAAGAUAAAAAUAAAAAAUCUAGUCAUUGCAAAUUUAGAUCUAACAUUGGCAAGUGUCGUCCAACCUAAUUUGGAACCGCCCAGCCUUGUUGAGUCUAGAUUUGACAGUGGGGAGCAUUGUUGGCUUAGAUCCAGCGUUGCCUAAUCUCGUCUAGCCCAAAUCCGGUGUCAUCUAGCAUCGCAUGUUCUCGUUCAUCCUAGAUGUAACAUCGAAAACCAAGAUCUUAUGCCGAUCGAGCACGUCCAUCCCUUCGAGUUGAUUUAAACUCUGUGGUUGCUAAUCUAAGUUCUUUGGUCCUCUAGGAUUCGUUUGCAUAAUUGUUGUUCUCUAUGUUCUUUAAAAGAAGAAGAAGAAGUAGCAACAACUUGCUUGAUGGGGUUGCUUGCCCUGUUCACCUCGAAAUUGAUGUUGGAUAAGGAGGUUUUUGUUUGGGCAUAAUUUGUAGUUUUAUUGUAUGUUUUCAUGAAACAUAUGAAUUUGAUUGAAGUGUGGUAGAGCUUUGAACUAUUUGAAACAAAUCAUGAUAGUUUGUUGAAUUGAAUUAUGGUUGGUGGAAUAUGAGUUUGAUUAUUGUGUUGAAAAUUAUUGUGUUAUAUUUGUACACAUUGGGUGGUUAUGGUAGAGAAUAAAGGUGCAGUGGCUGAAAUUAUGUCUACAUCCUCUAGUUGACAAAGAAGAAUUUAGAAUUUCAACAAUGGAGGAAAAUCGUGUUGUUAGUAUUGAUUGGGAGAGAGCAACAAAAUCAUCUAACAAGUAAUAGGUCUACCUCUUAUACAAACUAUGAAUGCCAAAAUUCUUGAUCAAAUGUUGAACUCCAUGGAAUCCCAAGUUGCAAAUUUGGUUACAAAUUUAUGCAAUGAAGGAGCUGUGGAACUACUUGAAUUUUCUUUAUUCUAGGCAAAAUAAUCUUUAAGGAUUUAUAAAGUAUCCCAUGAAUUGUGUGGGGUUAAUAGAAAGGGCCGGCCACUAACCUAGUAUUUUGCUUAUUUUAAACGUAUAUAUGAGGAGCUUAAUUCUCUGCCAUCCAUUACCUCUAAUGCAAGAACAACGAGAGCAAUUGGCUAUUAUGGGUCUUUGGGAGGACUAGGACCAAAAUAUGAUGUAGUCCAUUCCCAAAUAGUUGGACACUCAUUGAGACGUUUGCUGGACCUCAUGUAAACCACAUAAGAGUGCAUUCUUCAUAGGUGAUAGCUCGUUGACAGGCCAAGGAAAUUAUAGUAGUGGUCGAGGUCAUAGUGGUGGCCAAGGUUUUGGUAGAGGCCAACCACCCUCAUAUAGUAAUACUUAUAGUGGCACAUAAGGUAAUAUCGAAUUUAUCUGGACUUGUCAUUACUAUGGUUUACGUUAACACAUUCAAAGAUUCUGUUAUAAGCUUCACAGAAGGCUGCCUCAACUAGAUGCAGCUAAUGUAGCCGAUGCAAUAGAAUCUAGUACCUCUAUCAGCCCUCUAAAGCAGGAAGGUUAUUAGAAUGACGAAGAAGGAAUUUGCUAGGUACAAUUAUUUCUAGAUUUCUAAGCUAGUUUCAUGGUCCUCCUCCAUUGGUCCAGAUAGGUAAUACAACAACAUGCCUUUCUUCUGCCUCUUGCCUCUGAGUUAUUGAUUCAGGUUCUACCAAUCAUAUGACUGGAGUUUCAAGUAUCUUUUCUAACUUUCACGAGGCUAUGUCCAAUAUGAUAUUAGCUAGUGAUUUAUUAUUCAUAAUAAAUUGGAUAGACACAAUUCUCCUAACAUCCUCCAUAUAUUUAUCUUUAGUCAUGUAUCUCCCAAAUUUUCCAUUUAAUUUUAUGUAUGUCAAUCAUCCUACCAAAACAUACAAUUGUUCAAUAACUUUACAUCUUGAUUCUUGUGUUUUUCAGGACUUGAAGACGAGGAAGAUGAUUACUAAAGGACAGGGGGCUAUACUUAUUUGAUGAUAAUACCGAUGUUGCUUGUUUUGCGGCUUCCCCACAUCAAAUCCAUUGUUGUUUGGCCCACCUCUCAUUGGAAAGUUUAGAGAAGUUAGAUCCUAGUUUCAUUCUUUAUCCAGUCUUGAGUGUGAAUCAUGUCGGUUUGGCAAAUUGCAUCUUAUCAGUUAUUGUCCAAGAGUCAAUAAAUAGACUUCCCAAUCGUCUGUGUUAGUUCAUUUUGAUAUAUGGGGUUUAUGUUCUAUGUUGACACCUAAAUUUUUGCAUAAAUUACCCAAAAAGAGAAAAAUAAAUAAGAAAUAAAAUAAAAUUACAUAGCAAGGAAUUUUAGGCGCAUCUUACUCUGAUAAGGAAUAAAGAUUUGAUAUAUUCAAAUUAUAUACACCAAGGGGUAUAUUUCGCAGAAAAUUAGAAGAUUUCGAUGGAAUAUUUUAGACGCAAUACAUAUUUGGCGUUAAUCUUCGGGUAAUAUGCAUUUUUGACAUAAUAAAAGAAAUAUCAGAUCUUUCAAUCGUCGAUGGGCGUGAACAAAGGAAAGAAAAUGAAAUAAAAUAUUCCACCGUGACCUCUCGAAAUCUAAUCGAAAAGAAAAUUUUAUUUCUUUCAUACGUGGACUCAAUUUCGUUGCAUAUAAAAAGGGGGCUUUUCUCAGUUUCUAGGUUAAAAAAAUUCAAUACGAAAAAAAGAAUUUUUUCUUUCUUGAGGCUUUUCCUGAGGACUUUUCCUUCGGUUUCUCUUGAGUAGAAAAGUCAACAAAAGAGAAAAAAGGAAAAGAGGGCAGAGAGAAGAGACGUGACAAGCCAGCAGAAAAAAAGAAAAGGAAAAAAGAAGAAAAGCAGAGGACUGUUCGUCUUCUUCGCUGCCCUCGCCGACCCCCUGCGCCGCCUCGCCUGCUGCGCCAGCCACCGCCGCAACGACCUGCAGCAACCCACGGAGCCGCCGCCGUCCCGUCUGCUGCCGGAUCCCUCCAUCGCCCGCGAGCCGGCGUCGCUGCUGCUGUCCAGAGGCCGCGACGCUGCUGCAGCCAUCGUCUCCGCCCGCGCCUGCACCUCCGCCCCGGCGUCCCUUGCUGCCCGAGCUACCGGCCACCAUCUAGCCAGCGCCUCCUCCGCCCGCCUCGCCUGCUGCGCCUCCGCCGCUCGAUCCUCCGCGACGCCACCGCUACCUCUGCAGCCGCGAGCACCCGCAGCAACCUUCGACUCCGCCCGACAACAUGCUUCUCUGCCACAGCCCGUCGUCGACGCCGUAGCAGCUCCCCUCAUCCGCGAGCUCGCACCGCCCAGCAGCCAGCAGCCCGCGACCCCGCGCCCGACUCCGCUGCCAACGCCAGCGUCCGAGCUCCGCCCGCGACCCAGCAGUCCGACGACCUUGCCUCAGACUGCCCUGCGCUCGCCGCGCCUCACCCGCGCCUGCACCAGCUCCCGACGCCCUCUCCGCCUGCUGCCCAAGCGCCGCUCUUCUUUGGUCGUCAGCUGUCGACGCCUCCUUUGCCGUUCAUCGCCGCUGGUCGCAGCGCGAGCGCCACCCAGCAGCCCGCGCCCGACUCCUCCGCCGCCCCACCGUCCCCGACCCCGGGCGAAUCGUCGGUCGCAAAUCCCGCGCACCGGCCCCUUUUCUUUUUCUUUUUCUUUUUAAAUAAAAAUCAGUCAAGGUAGUUUAUUUUAUUAUUUUUUAUCUUUUAUUUUUUGUCAGGUUUAGUUGUUAUUGCUCAAAUUGAAACAUUGGAUGUGGACGUUCAUUUUAUAAAUAUUUUAGGCAUUAUCCGUAGGAUUUUGCCCAAAAUUAUUGUAAUUAUUAAUGUGAUCCGUAGGACAUCGAAGCUUAUUUUUUUUAAUUAUAUUGAUUUUGGGGCAUUUCGAUAGUAUUUUAAUUCUUGAAUCAUUAUAAUUAUUAAUUUAAUUCGUAAGAUUUCGAAUUAAAUUUUUAAUUAUUUUAAAUAUUUGUAUAUGUUGUGAUGUUUAUGGUUAAAAUAAUCGUUAAUUUAAUUUAUGAGAUAAUGGAUUAUUUUUUCGAUUAUUUUAAUCAUUCAUUUGAUGAAUAUCUUGAUUAGUUUAGAUAUAAUGUUUAUCUGAUAAUUGCUUCUCUUGAAAAACACUAAAUCCUUUUUUAAAAAGAUAAUCAAAUCUUGCAUCGAAAUAUGUUGGUUUCAUAAAUUAGGAUUACACAUAGAUUAAAGUUAUAUUUAAAUAAUUUUUUUUAUAAAUAGGGUCUUAGAUAAUGUUUGUACAUUUUAAUAAUCUCUUUUCUAAAAAAAAAUGGUUUUUAAAGAUAGGAUAGGGUUUAAGUCAAAUUAAUUCCUAAACUAAAUUAGAUAACCAUUCAUUUUGUAUAGUUUAAUUAGGGUUUUUAUUAAUUCAGAUUUUUAAUGAAAAAUAUAUAUAAAUAUUAUGUGCAUGUCAAUUAAUUUGCACGUUCAUUUAAUUAGAAAUAGCUUGUUAGUAAAAUUAGGUCACGUAGUUAAAGUGUAUGUUUUAUGGCAAAGUUAUAAUUUCAAGAUAAAAGAAAACCCAAAAAAAUUGCUUACUUUGUGCGUUUAAAAUUUUUUAUGCAAUUUAUUUGAUUUGUUGAGUGUUUAAUAAUGAUUGAGCAUCUGUAUGAUCUUCCAAUCGCAUUAUAGUAUUUGAGGUUAAAAUAAAUCCAAACUGCCUGCAAAGAGCAAAGAAAAGUCUAGUAUAACCAAGUCAUCGUAUCCAAAGUUUUUGGUUCAUAAGAGUAUGAUAAUUUUCUCAUUAUUUUAUUUAGGUGACUAAUCGACCUAUCAUGAACUGAUUAGUAGCAACUCCUAGUUAAAAUUCAUUUACAUGAUAAAAAAUUUGAAAUUAAGUCGCGAAUUGAUAUGGACUUAGGAAAGUCCGAUCUAAGUCUAGGCUUAGCAAUCCAUUAGCCAAACCCCUAGGUGAUCCAGCCUGCUUCCGGGAGGUUGCAACAUUAUAUUUUUUCGAAGUUGGGUUUAAAGUACUUUGUUACAAAAUACAUACUCAAUUUUCAAUUCAUGUUUGUAUUCUUCGAAGUGAUAAUGCCAAAUAUAUGUCUAAUCUUUUUUUUUUGGUAUUUUAAUCUUUAAAAAAAAAAAUUCAUGACCCAAUGGGCAUCCAUCAUCAAUCUUCCUAUUCGAAGUUAAUCGAUCAUUGAUGUUUGAAAUGAAGGCAGACAAAUCCUUUUAGGUUGACACUAUGAUGAUUGCAUGUUAUCUUAUCAACUACACACCAUCUCUAUUCUUAAGGCUGCAACUGCACACUCUUCUUUUUUCUUCUAAAUCCUCUUUUCAUCUACCACUUCGUAUAUUUGGUUAUGUUUGCCAUAUUUGUGACAAUUAUCCAAGGCUUUCCAAACUAGGCCCUCAGUCUCUUAAAUGCAUUUUUGUGGGAUAUUAUCGUAUGCAUAAAGGUUACCACUGUUAUUGUUCUUCUUUGCAUAUGUUUCCUUCUUAGAGUCUAAUAUUUAUUCUGAUGAAUGAAUGGAACCUUCUAUAGUGGAUGAUGAUUUCUUUACAUAUGUUAUUGUGAAAUCCACUUUGGAUUCUGCACCAAUUCCUCUACUAGUCCAACAUGUAUAUGCUAAUCGUCCUCAUUAGCAUAUGAGUCAUUUGCAGAUGUACCUUUGCCUAUUUUGUCUCCUUCAUCCUUUAAGCCUGAGAUAAGUUUGCUAUUGCACAUCGCAAAGGAGUUCGUAGUUGUACCCACCACCCUAUUACACAGUUUGUCUCCCGUUCUAGUAUGUUUACCUCUUUUCAAACUAGUCAAGUCACUUGUCUCCCGUUCUAGUAUGUUUACCUCUUUUCAAACUAGUCAAGUCACCAUUCAUAAUCCUAUUCCUAAAACUAUUGCGUAGUAGACCAAAAUCAAACUCGGGUUCUUAUUCCUUUACUUACAAGGAAGACUGUUAUUGGAUAUAAAAUGGUGUUUACUGUCAAGCUUAAUAUUUGUGGUUCCCUUGCUUGCCUUAAGGCUAGAUUUCUAAAGGUUAUGCACAAGUUUAUGAGGUCAAUUAUGGUGAUACUUUUCCUCCAAUGGCUAAGAUGACAUCUGUUCGCCUUUUGCUUUCUUUAGCUACUAUUACUUUUUGACCUAUUUUUUAGCUUGAUGUUAAAAAUGCCAAUCUUCAUGGUUAUUUACACGAAAAGGUGUAUAUGGAGAUGUCUACCAUUUGAAGACAUCUUUAUAUGGUUUCAAACGAUCUCUCAUAGCUUGGUUUGGAAGGUUUACUGAGGUGGUGCUCCUGUUUAAAUUUAGUGGAGAUCUUUUUAUGUUUUACAGUUUUUUCUGGAGUUAGUUGGAUAUUGCUUGUAGUUUUUGUAGGUGAUAUUAUCACAAGUGGAGAUGAUUUUACAAAGACUUGUAUUUGCAACAAUUGUUUCAGACAAAGAAUUUGGGACAACAUAGAUAUUUUUUGGGUAUCGAAGAGGCACAUACAAUGAAAAGUAUUCACAUAUCAUAUCACAAGUAUGUUUUAGAUUUGCUUAAAAAGAUAACAAUGUUAGGACUUAAACCGCUAGAUACACCAAUUAUGAGAUUGGUAGAGGACGACAAGUUUUAGAUGAUCCUGAAAGGUAUCGAAGACUUGUUGGAAAAUUAAAUUAUGAGAUUGCACUCAACCUAAUAUUUCCUUUCAUAUGAGUGUUUGAAGUCAGUUUGUGUUUCCCCCCAUAUCUCUCGUGGAGAUGAUGUAGUCAAAAUUUUAAAAUACUUGAAGAAAGCUCCAAGUCGUGGUAUUUUCUAUAGUGAUCAUAGUCACAAAAGGGUGGAAGCAUCUUUGGAUGUUGAUUGGACCGAGUCUCCUACAAAUAGGAGGUCUACAUCAAAUUAUUGCACCUUUGUAGGAGGAAACCUAGUGUCUUAGAAGAGUACAAAGCAAAGUAUUGUGACUAUAUCUAGUGCAUAAUCAGAAUAUAGAUUUACGGCCUAAGUUACUUGUGAGUUAGUCCACAUGCGUCAAUUAUUAGUUGAACUUGAAUUUAAAGAUUCUAUGCUAAUGGAAUUGUGGUGUGAUUAUUAGGCAAUUAUCCAUAUAUUGCUUCAAAUUCUGUAUUCCAUGAGUGUACUAAGCAUAUUGAAAUUGAUUGUCACUUUGUCCACGAGAAGCUUUAAGCUGGAGUUAUUUCUACUAUUCAUGUUAGGAUUAAUGAACAAAUAGUUGAUAUUUUCACUAAGUCUUUAGGCAUGAUAUUUUCACUAAGUCUUUAGGCAGUAGUAAAGUUGAGUAUAUUUGUAACAAGCUAAGCAUGCUUAAUAUUUCUACUACAGCCUGAGAGAGAGUGUUAAAUUAUAAGAGGAUUAUUAUAAUCAUCUAGGAUACACAUGAUAACAAUUCUGUUUCUUUGUUUUUCUAUCUUUCUAUUUCCGGAAACAAGUUUGGAAUAAAAAUUGUGUUUAUCCAUUUGAUAAUGUAAUUUCAUUUUUCUAUUUCUAAAAUAAAUUUUUACUCCAGAAAUAGGUUGGAAAAAAAUAAAAAGUGAAAACUUUAUAUAUUUUUAUUUAUUUUUAAAACAAAAUUGAGAAAUAAAAACUCUUCUCGAUUGCCGUAAGUUGUCUCGCCAAUUGCCUGCCACCACCCCACUCAUCAUUGCUCGCCUCCGGUCGUCAUUGCUCGCCUGCCUCUCAUCACCACUCAAGAAGAAGAAAUUUUGCAUUAUUAUUAAACAAAUUUCUAUUCUAAAAAUAUAAAUUAUAUAGUUGUAAAAUACAUACUUUUGCUCAGAAAUAAAAGGCAAAAUUUGGUAACAUUUCUAUUCCUCUAUUUUUAUAUUCUUUCGUUCCCCAGACAAAGUUCACUUCAAGCUCUUAUUUAAAAAAAUUAAUGGCAUUUCGGAUCCUUAUUUAAAGCAAUGUCCACUUCAAGCUAUUUUUAUAUUCUUUUGUUUUUAUAUCUUUCUAUUUCCGGAAACAAGUUUGGAAUAAAAAUUGUGUUUAUCCAUUUGAUAAUGUAAUUUCAUUUUUCUAUUUCUAAAAUAAAUUUUUACUCCAGAAAUAGGUUGGAAAAAAAUAAAAAGUGAAAACUUUAUAUAUUUUUAUUUAUUUUUAAAACAAAAUUGAGAAAUAAAAACUCUUCUCGAUUGCCGUAAGUUGUCUCGCCAGUUGCCUGCCACCACCCCCCUCAUCAUUGCUCGCCUCCGGUUGUCAUUGCUCGCCUGCCUCUCAUCACCACUCAAGAAGAAGAAAUUUUGCAUUAUUAUUAAACAAAUUUCUAUUCUAAAAAUAUAAAUUUUAUAGUUGUAAAAUACAUACUUUUGCUCAGAAAUAAAAGGCAAAAUUUGGUAACAUUUCUAUUCCUCUAUUUUUAUAUUCUUUUGUUCCCCAAACAAAAUCCGCUUGCAUUUCGGAUCCUUAUUUAAAGCAAUGUCCACUUUAAGCCCUUAGUUAAGAAAAUGAUGACACUUGGAGCCCUUAUCAAAAAAACUAUGUCUAAAUAGAAAUUGUUCCCGUUAACAUAAAUGUUAUCAAAUACCACCGAAAUGGCCAGAAAUAAAUUUCUAACAGAAUGUUAAUCAUUCGACCCUAAGUCUUAUUAAACUAAUAAUAAAAGUGCGAGUGGCAAACAUUAAUCAGUUUGUAUGCUCUCCUCUUUUGUCCUCUAUCAAUUUCUACACUAAGAAAGAAGAAAAACUUUAAUAUAGUAGAUGACAACUACUAAUAACAGCAGCACCCAAGCUGCAUUCCGGAGUUGGAUGUUGGAACGCCUUUGAUGAGUCUGGAGUUGCGAAGGAAGCUGCUGCUUAACCUGCUGUAGCUGCUGCUGCAGAAGCUGUUGUUUGAGUUGCUGCUGCAUUUGAGGUUGCUGAUAUUGUUGCUUAAGCUGCUGUGUCUGUAGCAUCUGUACUCACAAUAAAUAUCUAAAUAAAGCUCGACUCUUAUAUCCAACUAGACCGCAUCAGUGUCAUUUAUGCAUAAGCCAAGUAUGAAGAAUAAUAAAGAUUAGCAACUUGCACAAAGCUACAGUUUCAUCAGAAUGCCAACCACCACCUGGAUAACAUUAAAAAAAGCAAGUAAAACAGGAAAAGGAGAUUGGCCGACACGGACAAAAUGAUGGCAAUUUCUUUUCUACAUUAAGACAUCAAUGGCUUCAUCUUUUAUUACUCCUUAAUAAAGGAAAAACAGCAAUCUUAACGCAACACAGAAACAUUCUUAAGUAAACACGAUUCAGUAGUUAAAUGACUUCUCUUUCCAUUUCAUAAAACUACUCUUUCCCUCUUCAUAAUGUUGUGAGAAAAAGGGGAAUGCCGAUCAGAAAGCACUCUGUGGCAACUUCUCAUGCUUAACUUACAGAUUAAUAGCAGCAUUAUCGAUACCUGAUCCUCACAACAUAUAAGCUUGGCUAGACAUUGCAGUUUUUAAUAACAAGAAUUGUUAGAUAAAUGUUAAUGCGACUGGCCUGGAGUCACUACAUAAUUAGAAAUUCACCUUUGGUGGAGGGAUUCCUAGGUUUACAAGCCAUAAGCACCUGUCCAUACUACACUACGUAAAGAAUUGGCUAACGAAAUUCCACUCAAGGGCUUUCAAAUUUCUCUGAUUUAAAUUCCUGUCACCAAAAUGUAUGAUGUUAUACAAAUUCUAGCAAGGGAAUUGGCUCCUGUUCAGCAGUUAUUAUUGUCAUACUGGUUAGUGCACAAGGCCACAUUACUAUCCCCAAAUUAUAGUUCAUUAUGCAACUUCCCCACAUUCUAAUACUUUGGACAAAAGAUUAUGCUGUCGACAUUCUGUUGCCAAAUACCCAUUUCUGUCUCACAGCUAUAUUUGCUAUCGAGUCAAUAUCCAAACCAAUAUCUCAUGUGAAUGAAUUCCUUUCCCAGGCUAGACCUCAUAAAACUACUAAUACUCUUAUCUGUGCCUUUGUACAUUUGUAUCCUACUAAACCAUAUAUGUAAAGUCUAGCAAGAAAGGUCAGUCAUCAACAAACUAUUAAAACCAGUAGAAAAAUAUGAGAAGUAUCACACAUAAUACCUGCAUUCCAUAAAAUUUAAUGAAUAAAACAAAACAGUGGUACAAAACCUUUUGGUAAGCCUCCUCUUGCCAGUCACCCCCGGCCGAAUGCCCCAUUUGGGCAGAGCUAUCAGUAGACACUACAAAAGUAGAAGAAUAACUCUUCGUGGACUGUGUUGACUGUGGAACUGAAGACUGUUGAUUUUGUUGGAGACCAGCUAGAGGAGCUGGUUGCAUUGAUGGCGGCUGCAUGACAGAAGAUGUUUGGAGGACAGACUGCUGAGAAGCCUGCAGCUGAGUCGGCUGUAGCAUAUUCUGUUGCUGCUGUUGCUGCUGCUGUUGUUGGAAUUGAGAUGACAUGAGCGAAUGUGGGACUGGCUGAAGCUUCUGCUUCAAAAGCUGCUGUUGGUAUUGCUGCUGCUGGUAAAUAUACUGCUGUGAAUUCUGAGACUGUUCUUGUUGCUGUAGGGAAACCAUCUGUUGCCUAGCUUGAAGUUGCUGAGAAUUUACGAACAUGUUGCUAUUGACACCUUGGCCCAUUGAGUUCCCCAGUGAGUUCUGAGAAACACUAGGCAUAUUUUGCAUGUUGUUGUUUUGUCCAAUAGUAUUCGGGAUGGAAGAUUGGUUCAAGCCAGAGACAGAUGGCAAUGUAGACGAUAGACUGGCUGAAGCCUGAACUCCAGAUGGAACAUUAUUCUGAAUAUUCUGAACCAAUAACUGUUGACGUGCUUGAGGCUGAUUCACAGCUAAGGAAUUAGGAAUUGAUUGACUUUGAUUUUGAAUUUGUGACUGCAUAACUUGAGAUGACAUACAAUAUAUACAAGUCAUGUUAGUCAAUCAAGAAACCAACCAAUUCAGUACAGCGGCAUUAACUACAAAUAGCACGAAGAGACAAUGAAUGAGAGAUAAAUGCACCGCAAGUACGACCUUAGACCAUUAUGUAUUCCAACUUGAAAUUUUCUGAGCAAGUGAUACUGGAUGAUAAUGGACAUGCAAACACAGACAAACAAUGACCACUCAUUUUCUUUUCAACAAAUACUAAAUAAAAGUCUUUGUGAAAUUUAUGUACUUGAAUUGAUCUUGAAAUUUACAAAAAUAAAUAAAUAAAGGACAAAGGUAAUCAUCUUUUCAAGCACACAUCUUCUGAUGCCAUAGGAGACUCACUUUAACAAAGAAGAAAGAUAAAAUUUGAGGCCAAAAAAGUGGGAGGAAGUUACAAAAGAUGCAAGCAGUUGUCCCUUUCUAGUAAAACUUAAGUCUUGCUGCCACUCUUUGAAAAACUUGCUCUUCACAAAUGCAAAUCUAAUUCUACUGACGAAACAAACUGAUUUUUAGUUCUUUAAUCAAUAUAUUACAAAUUUAAAAGGGAUAUUCAAAUGUGCCACUGCCCAUGGUAUAAACGUGCAUUUGAGGUUACAAAUGAGCAAGAUUGGAAAAAAUUUAUUAAAUUCAGGUUACUACAAUGAAAAUCCACAAGCAGCAUGGCUUGUAGUGAGUAUACAUGUGUACUGUGUAAAGCCCAGUAAAAGCAACAACAGGGCAAGUCCUAAAAUGUGUUAUGCUAAUGCACUUAAGUCCUAAAUUUUCAUUUUGUGCAUUUAAGCAUAAAACUUGUAAAUGUCGAUGCCCUUUAGUCAUUCCAUUAACUCCGUCAAUUUUAAGUCGGAUGGAAGAUUUCACAUGGCUUUCUUUUACGGUUUUCUUAAGCCAAAGUGGCUGUUGAUAUUAUAAAAAAAAAAAGGCCACCUAGAUUUUCUGCCCACUAAAACCUAAUGGAGCCAACAGAGCUAACAGAAGACCUAAAGUAAAUGACUAUCACAAGUCUUAGGACUUAAGUGCACAAAAUCAAAGUUUUAGGACUCAAAUGCCUCUAUCAUAACAAGUUUCAAGACUCCUGUUGUAAUGUCCCCCAAAAACUAUGUAUAUGAAAAAAUAGUACAAUUACAUAAAUGAAUAAACACUAUAGCUUUCUGGUUUCUAGUCAAUAUAUUUCUUACCUUUACCAAAAAAAUAAAAAAAUAAACACUAUAUAAGGGGAUAACGAAACGAAAAUUAUAAUUCCUACAUUAAUGAUACCAAAUAACAGGAACUUAAGUCGUACCCGGGUCAUUACUGCUAUUCCCAGCAGGGUUAGAUGGCAAAGCAUUAGGUAUGGUAUUCUGAGACUUUGUCUCCAUUGUCAGCAUCUUCAAACAUAUUUUCCUUAAAUAAUCGGACUAAAAGGGAAAGGAAGCAGAAAUCAUUUCAUCACUUAAUCAAAUUGGAAAGAAAAUGAAGCAUAUAUAAAACCUUAGCACAAUAUUACAGCAAUGAGUAAACCUAAUUUCCCUGGGGCAAAGCUAAACGUAAAUAUUUAACAGUUCCAGUUACUAUAUGGAUGCAUGCAUGAAUGAUAAAAAUUCUCAACAAAUUAUGCAAAUAAAAGAACGCUUCUCUUAAUUUUAAGCACAAGCCUAUCCAGUUUGUUUAUGCAUCCUCUAUCCACAUAGAAACUUCGUACCAAUUAAUCACAAAAGGCAUGGACAUCAUAUAAUACCUGGCUUAUUGCAGCAGUGUAAAUUUUUUCCUCAAAUCGCACGGCAAUUUUCUUGAGUUCUUGCAAACCCUCUGGACCAGAAACAGGAAGGUGUCGCUUCAAGGUCUCCAUUCUGCAUAUCAAAAGAGAUUUGCACUUGAGACGAAAUUCUUCUUACCAAUAAUUUUUUCUUUCCUUGACGAUAAAUAAGAUUUCACUAAGAAGGUACCAAAGGGGUGGCACCCCUAACAGAAUGGCUUUAGGUAGAAGCCACCCAUAAACAAAUUCAUGGCAAAAGACUUUUUUUAACAUUUCCAACAAACUAGACAUAUGAAACCGGACUUUCCUGCUACCAAAAGUGAGGAGUGUACAACCAAUUAUUCCUAAAAAGAAUCCCACAAGUAUUCAAUUCCUUGAAAUGCCCUUUUGUUCCUCUCUCUCUCUCCAAAUGAGCCUAAAAAAAGGAGAAAUGGUAAUCACUCUCUUUCCGAGCCACAAACUGAAAGCCCCUCUCCAAGCCCAAAUUUCAUGUCACGAUGUUCACUCCCAAUAUUGCAAAAACUGCAGCCCAGAAUCUUUCUGGUGCAGGUACAAUGUCAAAUUGAGUGAUUCACGCUCUCUUCUUCAGUCUUUGCACAAAAAACACCCAUUAGCCUGUACUUUCCCCUCCUCUGAGCAUUAUUUAAAGUAAGAAUACAUCCCCAAGCAUCUCAAGCAAAAAACGAAGCAUUCAAUGGGACCUUGACUUUCCAAAUAGAUGUACAUGGGAAAAGUGUACUCUGUCGUAAUAGCAUCUGAGUAGAAGGAGAUCAGAACAAUAGCAUUUGACAGAAAAAGUUCCAGAGUCACAGCAAUUCCACGUAGCCCAUCGUCCUCAAAUCUAACCUCGCUUGAUAAGACAACCCAAAAAAAUUCAAGAAGCUUCAUGCUUCUAAUCUAGAGCACUGCGCAAGAUAUUAAUCUCCCACGUCAUUUCUCCCAACAAUCAUCCACCCUAGCUCUCUUGUUUCUUUCUAGUGCAUACCCAUCCAGGAAUAACUGUUUGAACGCAGUGCCUCCUCAGCAUAUGUCAUCCCAUGACAUACUACUCCUACUAUUCCCCAACUCUAAUAGAAAGUCUGCUUUUGAAAGCAUCCCAUCCUUGCUCAAUGUCGAAUCCAUGUGCUCCUCAACUAGAUUUAGUCAUCUACUCUGUAUCUUCAAAACCAAGUACACUCCUCCAGUUCUAGUUUUCUCCCCAUUAAAUCAACACAACCAUUUCCCAAGCAAAGCUUCAUAUACAAGAACCGACAACUUUACCCCAACCCCUCAUUAACACCUCAUUGCCCACAUACCUCUUCCAGUAACAGCUUAUACAGACUAAUAAAUCUGAGAUUAAUACAAGAUAAUACAACCUACAAGCAAUGAGACGCUUAAAAUUCCUCAGGUUCCGGAUACAUGAAUUUUUGUUACCAGCAUAACAGGAAAUCAUCCUGCAACUGAUUUCCUCCCAAACCUUACCUCUACACUUAAGAAAGAAUUACAUCCAAAAUACAAUAACAAGAGUGGCCCCCCUGCAUACCUGCUAAAUCCCACAUCGCGGCGUACUAAACCUAACCCAAACUAUCUAACCAAAUAGAAUUUACAGCGAAAGAUUCCUCAGAAUUCACGUUGGGCCUCGACCAAUUAACAGGACCAUACUGCAAAACCAUUACUUCCUUUAACAUACUAAACCCUCGGAAAUCACUCCUAAGCAAGGAUCCCUCAUGAACUCCACACUUCUCGACAUUAAAAGACCCAAGCGAAGGAAGGAGGCACUCACAUCUUGUUGACGAUCCUAUCCCGCGAUUCGGACGGCAACCAAGUCCUCCAAUCGCCCCGGUCGAGCGCAGCUUCAGUGCCCCCGCCUCCCACACCGGCCGGCGGCGUCGGCCUCCAGUCAUUGUUAUCCAUCACUAUCACUCCUCAACGAACCCAACACUCGCAAGGGCCCUUCUACAAGCAACAAAAACCCACAAUCAGCACACACCCACCAACCCAAACGCAGAUUCGAGUCGCGCAACCAACACAAAAUCAGCUCCGAUUCAGGAACCCAAGAGAAAACCCACCACCCACGUCCUCCCAAAAAGCCCCAGAAAACCCAAAAACGAGAGUCGAUGAAAAGCACGAAAGAUCACUUGUUUGGCCGAAAUGCGAAGGGGGGAAGAGCGAGGGAGGGACGCAAGCCGAGACGAUUGGGCGAGAGGAACCCAAAAAGCAAGGCUGGCUUGUCUGUUCUCUAAAUGCCGCUCAUGCUUCAGUUGAGCAAUUAAUCCACGGAUUCUACAUUAAUUAAGAAAAUAUUAAAAAAAAAAAUUAAUCUAAACGCCAUAGAUGCUUUAGAAUGAUCACUUGAAAGCAGGGACAACUUUCAAACUUAGUGUCUAAUCUAGAAAUGACCAUAGUGAUCCUUAGAUAUUAAAAUUAAGCCAAUAAUAAUUGUUCUUCCUCAAGAUUAUGAAAAAUACAAUAAUUGUUCCACUUUUCACUUAUGGCCCAAUUCACUUUACUCUUAAAAAGUAGCAAAUUUUUCAUGGCCCAUGGAACCCACUUCUCUUUUUUAAUUCUAGAAAAUAUAACAAUCAUUCGAACAAUUGUUCAUCGAAUCUUCUUAAUCUUAUGGAGAGAGAUAAAAUAAGUGUACAUGUACAUAGUGUGCUUGAGAUCUGGUCGUUAUUUAAUUUCUUUAAAUUGUUGUCAUAAGUCAAUAUCAAACCAUUAUCAAAAAUUAAUUAUGGCAGAAAUUCUCCAAUUCAGUCUCAUCACAAUGAAUAACCAUAGGAUUGAAUAUAGGACAUGUUUUUUUUUUUUUGACUUACAAGAGCCUUUUCUUAUAGCCUUCCGUUCUAAAUUUCAAAAUAGAAAAGAAUCUCUAUAAUGACCAUAAAAGUAACACACAUUCAUAUAUUUGGAAAUGAAAGUCAAAUAUAAAACACUACAAAAGGAAAAGAAGAACAGGCAGAAGCCAAUUUCUAAUCACCUAUUUAUUGAAUAAACAUUGAACCUGCCUAAUUUUCAAAACAUAAACAAUAAUAUUGUUAUAGAGGCGAAAAAUUCAGAAAGGACUCCUUGGCUGAUUUAAAAGCAUCCUCGAUACUUCUUCCCCUUGGAAAAAGGCAAAUAAGAAAAGAGAGAAAGAAGAAGAAUCAUGCGUGCUGGUAUAACAAGAUCUAAAACUGGGUCUAAAGAUAACAAUUCUGAUACUACCCACUGAAUCUGUCUAUUAAUCUUGUUGGACUUUCAAGCUUCGAGUCCUGCAUGGGUUUGUCCUUGCACUUGGAAUGCAUUUGCUGGUGACACCCUGCACGGACCGAAAGAGCUGAGAAACCUCAACACUCGACCAGAUGAUUUACCAAGCACCGGAUUAACAUUGGAAAUAACAAAGCAAGCGCAAUUGGAAUCUGAGACCAGAAAUUGUAUCGUCAAAACAUCCAUCCUCCAUCAGAAAUGAGUUCACGAGACAUGCGAAAGUUGCAGCUCAAGUUACUGGGCUCUAAACCAGCCUCGAGAUCUCUCACAACAUCCACAACAUAACAAUAUUCAAUACUCCUAUGCAGCCCUUAGGCUUCGCCAGCCCCUUCUUUUCGAAUCAAGUAACAAAAUCUAUGGUGAUAAAGUCAUUACUAAUAGCUCGAAAACUUUCUUAGAAUCUUCCACUGUUGCACUUGUCGAUGAAAAGCAAACAUGAAUGCUACGAUUAGGGUCUUCCGGUACUCACAGAAAAUCGGGUGCCUUGCGCAGCUCUCUCUUGUUUAUUUUGUUAUUCAUUUUUUUUUUCGAAAUUUUACUUUAUACGUGAUUUAUUGAAUUUAAAUUUAUGGAGAUUACAUAAAAAUAUACGCUCUUAUCCAUUUCAUAAUCCAUUUAUUCCUUAAUUUUUUCAUAUAAUAAAUUAUAUUAUUAUACCUAAAAUAUGUAAUAAUAUAGAUACUGUAUAUACAAACUAAAUAUUAUAGAUAGAAAGAAAUUCAAAUAUAUAAUAAAAAUAUCAAUAAAUAAAAACGAAAUUUUUUGUCAUUUUGAAUUUUUUAAUUAUAGAAUUCACAUAUUAUUUAUAUUUAAAUAUUAUUUUAGUUUGAUUAUUUAACAAAUUUGUUAUUCUAGAAAAAUAAUUUUUAUACCAUGAAAAUAAUAAAUUCUAUCCAUUUUUAUUACACAUGAUAAUUAUCCCUAGGAUAAUUUUAUCUGGCAUAUAUCCUCUUAUAUUCAUUUAUGUCCUAUCUUGGGCAAGAACCAAACUCGAGAUAAAAUUAUUUUUUCCUGACUACCAAAUGCAGCCUAAAGAGAUCUUCCCACACAACCUGAAAACGAGAAUUAAGUUCUUUUAGUUCUAGCUACCUCUCUAUAUUAUUCAUUUCUCUUUCUUAGACUUUUGCCAUCUUAACACGGUGGGCACAGGCAAUUAGGUUUAGAAAGAAGCUACGGACAAACUCAGCACUCAGCAAUCGUGAUUAGUUAUCUACUUAAGUUCUCUUAAAGCCUCUCAACUGCAGCACCGACACGACUCCUUAGAGAUAAACUCCAUUUACUUUCUCCGUUAGCUUCAAAUGGAGCUAGUCUUGCAUACAAUGACACCGUACCCCAAUUAGGAUGUCGUGCCACGAAAAGAGAAAAAAGAGUCUGGUCUUAUAUCACAUUUUAAUGUCAAAUUUUAGUUUGAGCCUUCCGAAAAGCAGUGUUGUAAGACUUACAGACGAUCAUCAAAGCAGAAAAAUUCUGAACAUUCAGUAUUCUAUAAUGCAAUUGCUUCUUGACUGACCAAUUUGAACCUUGAUCAUGACUUCAUGUUGACUAUAAAGAAACUCAGAAUACGAUCAAGCUUUUGUUGAAGUCUUUUCGACUCAAAGUCAAUCUUAUAGUUACCAAGAGGAAAGCAAACUGCAGCUUUAAGAGCUCCACCAAGAGCAACAUUCCUCGGAUGCCACUUUACUGAUCUCAGUACUACCACCCACUAAAUAAAGAAACUCCUUUUUUCCACUUAGUAUCGGUCCAAUUUUGUGAAAAUUGAUUUAGUAGGCCAAUGCAUAACAGUUAAUAGACAAUACUUAAGCCUGGGAAGUGAUGCCUUAUAGAUCAAAUCAAAAAUUGCAGCAGUGGCCAAACCAACUCCAGCUACGUUAAAAACAUCACAUCCUCCUUAAAAAUAUGUCUCGAGUUUGAAAUCAUAAAAAAAGACCAAUCCAAGUGGGUUUCCUAAAUGAAGUUGGAUUCCUAGUUCAAGCAAGUUUCCUGUUGUGAUUCAAUAAGAGUAGCUUUUGGCUGUGACAAUCAAUUAUGUGGUGUGCUCAUAAAUUAUAUUUCAAGUGUUUGAAGCUGUGAAAACUUCAAAGACCUCGCAUUUAUAUAGCAUUAACCCACAUUAGAUGUGAUUGAUUCCAAUGUGAAUAUAUUUUAAAUAAGAGCUCGAAAUCUAUCCUCAAAGUCAACUUCCAACUUUCAAAAUCAAGAAUCAAGUUGACUCUCAAUCGGUUCAGGAAGUAGGCUUACAUUCAAAUCCAAACCAACUUCUAAGUAGCAUAACAUUUGCUCUAGGAAAACAGGGCGAAUAACUCAUGUCAUGGUGGUCAAAUCCUCAAUGGAUUUUCCAAGUUUUCAAUGAUCGAAACCCAUCAUCACUAUGAAAUCGAGAACCCCAACCCCUUUUCCCCUGACUUUGAUUUUACACCAAACAUAAUUGACCAUGGAGGCGAAUUUGAAAAUCAAGACUUUACAAAAUUCUGUGAUGAAUUUGGUUUUCAGCAUGUGUUCUCCUCUUCAUAUACUCCAGAGCAAAAUGGAGUCGUGGAAAGGAAGAAUAGAUCCUUUUAAGAAAUUGCUAGAACAUUUUUAAUUAAAAGUAACAUAUGUUCGUGGAAAGGAAGAAUAGAUCCUUUUAAGAAAUUGCUAGAACAUUUUUAAUUGAAAGUAACAUAUGUUCACGUUUUUGGAUUGAAGCUGUUUCUACAGCAUGUUAUAUUAUUAAUAUGUUCACGUGUUUGAAUGUAAAUAUUUUAUUUUGAAAAAUGCAAAUGAUCGAGUUGGGAAGUUUGAAGAAAAAUCAGACGAAUGGAUCUUUCUUGGAUAUUCAACCACAAGCAAAGCUUACAGAGUAUACAACAAAAAGACUCAAUCUGUGGAGGAAUCAAUGAAUGUCAAAUUUCAAGACUCUAUGCAAAAUGAAUCGAUUCAGACUCAACUUGAAGAAUCUGAACCUACUCUAGACUCUACAAAGUCUAAAUCUCCAGAAGCAGCUCAGACUUCAGAAGACCAGCAACAAAUGAUAAUCGAAGAAUCAAAUGAGGAAAAAGAUUAACAGUCUGACAAAUCAACCAGCAACUAGAAGCAUAAGUCUAGUCAUCCCACAGAUCUCAUUAUCGGUGAUAUUAAUGAAGGAAUUCGCACAAGAUCCAAAAGGCGCAAAGAAUCUAGUGCUGUGACUCUUAUUUCUGAAAUAGAACCCAAAAGUAUAGAAGAAGCUCUAUCUGAUGAAAGUUGGAUUGAAGCCACGCAAGAAGAACUCACGCAAUUCAGUAUUAAUGAUGUUUGGGAAUUGACUCUUAAACCGAAAGGUAAAUCCAUCAUUGGAGCUAAAUGGGUUUUCAGAAACAAGAUGAAUGAGAAAUGAAAGGUUGUAAGAAACAAAACAAGACUUGUGGCUAAGGGAUAUACGCAAGAAGAAAGGAUAGACUAUGAUGAGACUUACGCACCAGUAGCAAGGUUAGAAGCAAUUAGAUUAUUACUUGCUUUUGCUUGUCAUAAGAAUUUCAUGUUAUUCCAAAUGGACGUCAAAAGUGCUUUCUAAAUGGAUUUAUCCAAGAGGAAAUAUAUGUGGAACAACCACCCGGCUUUGAAGACCCAAGGAAACCAGACUAUGUUUUCAUAUUGAAAAAUGCUUUAUAUGGUUUAAAGCAAGCACCUCGAGCUUGGUGCGAUAGAUUAAGUAAGUUUUUAAUCCAAAAUGGUUUUGUCAAAGGUAAAGUAGAUACUACAUUGUUUAUCAAAAGAGAAAGCAAAAGUUUUAUACUUGUUCAAAUUUAUGUUGAUGAUAUUAUUUUUGGAUCUUCUAAUGAAAGUCUGUGCAAGAAAUUUUCUAAGUCUAUGUAGGAUGAAUUUGAAAUGAGCAUGAUGGGUGAACUAACCUUCUUUCUCGGGCUCCAAGUAAAACAACUGAAUGAAGGAACCUUUAUUCAUCAAGAAAAGUAUGCUAAAGAUCUUGUCAAAAAGUUUAGACUGGAGAAUUGCAAAAAGAUUGAUGUACCAAUGUCAAAUUCCUUGAAAUUGGACAAAGAUAAAGGAGGAAAGAAAGUCGACCAGAAGCUAUACAAAAGUAUUAUUGGUUCACUUUUUUACCUUACUGCUUCUAGACCUGAUAUUUUGUUUAGUGUUUGCAUUUGUGCCAGGUUUCAAUCAGACUCUAGAGAAUCUCACUUAAGUGCUGCAAAACGUAUUAUCAAAUACAUUGCUUCAACUUCAACUUUGGGUCUCUGGUAUCCUAAAAAAUGAGACUUUACUAUUCUUGGAUACUCAGACGUAGACCUAGCCGGAUGCAGAGUUGAUAGAGAGAGCACAUCGAGUACCUAUCAACUACUUGGAAGUAGGACAGUGUCUUGGUUUUCAAGGAAGCAAAGUACAGUAGCUCUUUCUACAACAUAAGCAGAAUAUGUAGCUCUUGGAAGUUGUUGUUCAAAAAUUUUGUGGAUAAAACAACAGUUAAGAGACUUUGGAAUUGAAGAUUCAUGCACUGAAACAAAUGUGACAAUACCAGCGCAAUCAAUCUCACCAAGAAUCCGAUUCUUCACUCAAUGGCAAAACAUAUAGAGAUUCGACAUCACUUCAUUAGAGAUCAUGUUCAAAAUGGAGAAGUUUCGAUUCAGUUUAUUGACUCAAAGAACCAACUAGCGGAUAUAUUUACAAAGCCUUUGGAGAAAAAUCAAUUUGAAGCUAUUCGUUCUAGACUCAAUAUCUUAAAAUCUGAGGAAGUUCAACCCAGGACUGAAAGUCUAAAGGCACUCAGACUCAGACGAUCAAGAUUUUUUUUUGUAAGUUAUUUUAUUUUAUUAUCUCUCCAAUCAAAUCUCGAAAAGGUACGAUCAUCAACCCGUAAUUGAUUGUUGCUAUUUUUAAUUUCCGUGAUUAUUGCAAUCUGUCCUUCUCGGAAAAACAAAUUUUUUUUUAAAUGACAGUUAUCUAAUUUUUGAAAAGGCAGUUAUUUUUAAAAAUGCAUCUUUAUAUUUCUUUUUUACGACGUUCCGUAUGCCUCUCUUCGACUAUCCUAUAUACUAUCGGUUCUUCUUCGUUUUACUCACAAAAACCCUAAGAGAGCACCGAUCUUCCAUUUCUGUCUUCUUCUCUUGUUUAAUCUUCGAAAAGUUGUCAUCUUUCUUGGGAAAACAAGCUUGGAAUCUCUAAAAAAAAAACUGUGAAAAAUGUCUUCCCAAAAAAAGUUUUCGAGGAUCGCGAAUAGGGGACCACAGUAAAUGCGUGAGGGACCUACGCACUUUGAUCUCACUGAGGAAGAAGAAUCCCCUAAUCAGCAACAGAGCCCACAACAUUCUCAGCAGCGUCCAUCUCCUCCGUCUAGACCUCAAGAUGUUGCACAUCAAGAAGAGGAAGAAAUCAUCGAAGACGCAGAACCCAUAAGAACUCUUAAGCCUGGCUUUACUUAUAAGCUUUACCGUACUUUGAAGAGGGGUAGUACUCCUUUGAACUACAUUGAUAAAUUUUUAAGAGAAAAAGGGUAUCGAAAUGAAACCUAUUUUCUACGCACAAUGGAAUGAUUGGGAAUUGCCCCUACUGGAUCGGCGGAAGAGGCAUUGGCAAAUAUCCCAACUGAUCCACGUGUUGGAGGGCUGAAUCAGCCAAAUGGGAAUGACGAUGGUAGGAUGUACAAUCAGUUUAAACCGAGAAUGGGUGUUGCGGAAAAAAUCCGAAGCAAAAUGACAGACUUGUUUCGAUCGGAGGAACACAAGCAACUUUACUCUAAGUUGCUGAAGCGUGGGGUGAUAAACUCUAAAAGUGUGGAUUUUGAUUUUCUUGACUCUGUGAAUGUCAAUUUGUGGGAGAAAUUCAGUCUUCUUCAACUCGAACAGUUUUGUUCUGAAAGUACAGAAGCCUAUGCUGAACUUACUCUUAUUUCUAUUUGAAUCUUAGUUUCUUGGAUGCGAAUAGAUUCUCUUUUAGUGUUCGAGAUCAGGACUAUGUGGUUGACAUGAAUACUUUGGCUGAUGUGAUUGGGGUUGAAAGAGGGAGAUAUCAACUUAUCAGUGUGUCUAUUGCUCAUGCAACGUUGGAACUUGUUAAGGAUCGAAGAACGGAAGAAAAGAUUUCCUAUUUGAGGAUGAAUGCAACCAACAUUCUGCUUCACAAGAUUGUGAUUAACUGCCUCAGACCAAAAUCUACUUCAAAGACCGAUGUUUUAAACUUGGAGGCAAAGUUGAUGUAUGCCAUCAAUGCUGGGAAAAAUUCUCUCUUCCACACACUAUUAUGUUCCACAUGUACAGGGCAGUGGUGAAGGACAAUGGCCAACUUCCUUAUCCAGCUCUUGUGACUAAGUUAUUCAGACAUUUGAAUAUUCAGCCUCCCCGAAUUAUUUGUGGUCGAGCAAGUGAUCAAAUGGUGGUGGGACUGAAAAUAGUCUCUAAAAUGUGUCUAAAGGAACUCAACAAGGAAUUGGAGAAGUUUAAGGAGAAAACCCCUGCCAAGACUCAUCAAAUCUCUUCGGCUGCAAAGAGAAAAAGAAAGGAGUCCAUGGUUGCUCCAUCCAAGAAAAGAAGAGCUCUCAUCAUUGAGGAUGAAGAGGAUGAAGGUGAUAUCACCAUUUCUGCAAUGGCAUUGAAGAACUUGAGUCAUUCUGCACCCGAAUCAAUGGAGAGACAGGAAAUAGACACGGCUGAAACAUAAGUGAAGAUUUUGAGAAAGAAGUAGAGGAGAUAGAUGCAAAGGAGGAAAGAAUUGAAGAAGAAAAAGAAGAAGAGGAGAGAGUAGCAAAAGAAAAUGAAGGACACUCUUCUCCACCUGAAGGCAUGGAAAUAGGGGGAGAUCCUGAGAAAAGAGGAACAUCCUCAAUCCCUGCUACCAGUGAAGGAGUAAGUCGCUCUCCAGCAGAUCCAGAGGACAUUUAUGCCUCACAAUUUCCUGAGGAGGGACACGAUGUUUCAUCGCCCAAUCUGCGUGACAAUGCUGAUUUGCCAUCAUCUGCUUAUACACCGUCUAAUCAUGCAGAAGCAGAUACUCAGACUGAUAAUUCAACAGACUUUCGCAGAAUUCUUGAAGUUCUUUUGGAGAUGAAAGGUCAAAUCUAUGCUCUAGGAUGCGAACUUCAAAAUAUGCAGAAUGCAGGACAAGCUUCUUCAGUUUUUUUUUUAAUGAUCAACUCCAAGCCCUUGCUCUUCAAGUUCAGGCAAAUGCUAAGGGUGAAGAAGUAGCACAACUGAAUGAGGACUUGAAAAAGCUGGAAGGCAUUUUCCAGUCAAUGGGAGAUUCCCAGCUUGUUCAUGUUCCCAAGCCAUGUUAAUUUCAUUCUCUUUUCAUCUCUACCUUUUUAAUGAUGACAAAAAAGGGGAGAGAUAUGCAGAUUUGACUGUUUGGCUAUUUUAAAAACUUUUUUGAUUGACUUGAUGUUUGUGUUUGGCUAUUUGGAUUUGGACUGGAUUUGGAAUGGACUGUUUGAACAUCUGUUUAUCUUAAGUAUUAUUGAUAUCUCAUGGCCUUGUUCAUAAGACUAACCUACUUUCUGUGGAUACGGAUUCCAGUGUUAUUACUAAGCCAUUUAUCUUUGUGAGAUAUCCAUAUUUGCUUGAGUAAUAUUUUGCAGAUCAAAGUUAUCCAAAUUUGCAGGAAAGUUUUGUCACCAUCAAAAAUGGGAAGAUUGUUGGAGAAAACUUCAUUGAGUGUUUUGAAACUGACAAAACGUUUCCAUCAGUCUAGUCUGAAGUUUUGCAAACUCUUCCAUCAAAGUCUGAAGAUUUUCGGACUGCCAGACUCAAGACUCAAAUUCUAUCCUCAUUAACAGUUUCUAGUCCGUCGAAAAAGGCUUAUCCAAGAUUGGAUGUUUCGUUAAGGAUUUGAUAUUAUCGACUGGAGUAGAUCUUCUGGCUGGAUAUAGCAUGUUGAAAUCCAUUAUUCAAAUCAAGAUUGAUUUGGGAAUCGUGGAUCCGUUGAUUGGCGAAAUAUACUUGGAAGGUUCUACUUAUGGAAACCAAGAUCCUGAUUGUAUGGGCGAGCAGGAUUGAUGGGCUAUCGUCAUGUUCCUUAAAUAGCUCGAAGAUCUUCCUAGUUGAUUCUGUCCAACGGGUAGAUUGGAAUAAUUCCUUUGAUAAGUGCCAACUGAUAUGAUGGCAUAAAGGAGUAUAUAAGGAAGUCGUUCUAGUUGUUCAAGAGUGUGCGCGAUAGAAGAAUUCCAAAGUCUGAAACUCCUUGUUCUUAGUCAAUUCAUUUAUUGAGCAAAAUUUCGUACGCAAAAUAGAGUCUAUAUCUUUGAGAAACCUUGUGGAGGUGUAGUAAAAUCUCUACACUAUAGAAUCAAGGGAGAGCUUUACUGUAACAACUCUUUUAUUCAUAGUGAAAUCCAGCCGGUGGGCUGUCAGUGCGGAAGAGUGGACGUAGGCUUGGAUUAAGCCGAACCACUAUAAACUAUGUGUUCAAAUUCUCUUCCCUACACUCUUUUACUUUGAUCAUAACUUGUUUAUUCGAAAAGAGAGGAAUUUCCUUUUCAUAAUCCAUUGUUGAUUUGUGCUGAACUUAUUUCGCAAAAUUGUUUUUGCACCUAUUCACCCCCCUCUAGGUGCACAUACUAGCUUUCACAAAAAUUAGGUCACGUAGUUAAAGUGUAUGUUUUAUGGCAAAGUUCUAAUUUCAAGAUAAAAGAAAACCCAAAAAAAUUGCUUACUUUGUGCGUUUAAAAUUUUUUAUGCAAUUUAUUUGAUUCAUUGAGUGUUUAAUAAUGAUUGAGCAUCCAUGUAAUCCUCUAAUCUCAUGAUAGUAAUUGAGGUUAAAAUAAAUCUAAACUGCUUACAAAGAGCAAUGAGAAAUCUAGUGUAAUCAAGUCCUCAUAUCCAAAGUCUUUGAUUCAUAAACUGAUUAGUAAAAUAAUUCUUUCAUUAUUUUGUUUAGCUGACUAAUCGACCUAUCAUAAACUGAUUAGUGGCGACUCUUACUUAAAAUUCAUUUACAUGAUAAAAAAUUUAAAGUUAAGUCGCAAAUUGAUAUGGACUUAGAAGAGCCCGACCUAAUUCUAGGCUUAGAAGUUCAUUAGCCAAACCCCUAGGUGAUCCAGCCCGCUUCCGAGAGGUCGCAACAUUAUAUUUUUUCUAAGUUGGGUUUAAAGUACUUUGUUACUUUUGUAGAUGAUUAUUUAAGAGCCCCUUGGCCUGUUAACGAAAUAAUACUCAAUUUUUAAUUCAUGUUUGUAUUCUUCAAAGUGAUAAUGCCAAAUAUAUUUUUCUAAUCUUUUUUUUUUGGUAUUUUAAUCUUUAAAAAAAAAAAUUCAUGACCCAAUGGGCAUCCAUCAUCAAUCUUCCUAUUCGAAGUUAAUCGAUCAUUGAUGUUUGAAAUGAAGGCAGACAAAUCCUUUUAGGCUGACACUAUGAUGACUGCAUGUUAUCUUAUCAACUACACACCAUCUCUAUUCUUAAGGCUCCAACUCCACACUCUCUUCUUUUUUCUUCUAAAUCCUCUUUUCAUCUACCACUUUGUAUAUUUGGUUAUGUUUGCCAUAUUUGUGACAAUUAUCCAAGGCUUUCCAAACUAGGCCCUCAGUCUCUUAAAUGCAUUUUUGUGGGAUAUUAUCCUAUGCAGAAGGGUUAUCACUAUUAUUGUUCUUCUUUGCAUAAGUAUUUUACAAUUGCAGAUGUUUCCUUCUUAGAGUCUAAUGUUUAUUCUAAUGAAUGAAUGGAACCUUCUAUAGUGGAUGAUGAUUUCUUUACAUAUGUUAUUGUGAAAUCCACUUUGGAUUCUCCACCAAUUCCUCUACUAGUCCAACAUGUAUAUAGUAAUCGUCCUCAUUAGCAUAUGAGUUAUUUGCAUAUGUAACUUUGCCUAUUUUGUCUCAUUCAUCCUUUAAGCCUGAGAUAAGUCUACUAUUGCACAUCGCAAAGGAGUUCGUAGUUGUACCCAGCACCCUAUUACACAAUUUGUCUCAUGUUCUAGUCUGUUUACCUCUUUUCAAACUAGUCAAGUCGCCAUUCAUAAUCCUAUUCCUAAAACUAUUGCUGAAGCACUAUCUAGUCCAAGCUAGAGGACAGCUAUGGAGGAGGAGCUAUUGGUAGUAGACCAAAAUCAGACUUGAAUUCUUAUUCCUUUACUUACAAGGAAGAUUGUUAUUGGAUAUAAAUGGGUGUUUAUUAUCAAGCUUAAUAUUUGUGGUUCCCUUGCUCGCCUUAAGGCUAGAUUGGUUUCUAAAGGUUAUGCACAAAUUUAUGAGAUCAAUUAUGGGGAUACUUUUCCUCCAAUGGCUAAGAUGACCUUUGUUCGCCUUUUGCUUUCUUUAGCUACUAUUACUUUUUGACCUACUUUUUAGCUUGAUGUUAAAAAUGCCCUUCUUCAUGGUGAUUUACACGAAAAAGGUGUAUAUGGAGAUGUCUACCAUUUGAAGACAUCUUUAUAUGGUUUCAAACGAUCUCCCAUAGCUUGGUUUGGAAGGUUUAUUGAGGUGGUGCUCUUGUUUAAAUUUAGUGGAGAUCUUUUUAUGUUUUACAGUUUUUUUGGAGUUAGUUGGAUAUUACUUAUAGUUUUUGUAGGUGAUAUUAUCACAACUGAAGAUGAUUUUACAAAGAUUGUUUAGCUAAAAUUGUAUUUGCAACAAUUGCUUCAAACAGAGAAUUUGGGACAACAUAAAUAUUUUUUGGUAUCGAAGAGACACAGGCAAAGAAAAGUAUUCACAUCUCAUAUCAUAGGUAUGUUUUGAAUUUGCUUAAAACUUAAACAGCUAGAUACACCAACGGAAAUUGGCUCGAAAUUAAUGGUAGAGGACAACAAGUUUUAGAUGAUCCUAAAAGGUAUCGAAGACUUGUUGGAAAAUUAAAUUAUGAGAUUGCACUCAACCUAAUAUUUCCUUUCAUAUUAGUGUUUUGAGUCACUUUGUGUUUCCCCCCAUAUCUCUCGUUGAGAUGCUACAGUCAGAAUUUUGAUAUACUUGAAAAAAGCUCAAAGUCGUGGUAUUUUCUAUAGUGAUCAUAGGAGGUUGGGACACCUGGAGUGCCAUAACUUGACACGGAGGGACACUUAAGUGCCAUAACUUUAAAAUGGUACACUUAAGUGCCAAUAUCGAAGUAAAAUGGGACACAUAAGUGCCACUCCGGUGAAAAUUCGGCCAAAUAGCUGACGUGGCAAUUUUCCGGCGAGUUUGGUCCAAAAUGGCGUCGUUUUGCACGCUGACGUGGCGGAGAAAACGCAAAAACGACGCCGUUUCGUGUCUACGUGUAAAUAAUACUAUACAAAUUAAUUAAAUUAGAUUUAAAAUAUUCAAAAAAUUUAAAAAAAAAUUUAAAAUUUUAAAAAAUUAAGAAAAUUUAAAAAUUUUAAAAAAUUAAGAAAAAAUUAAAAAAUUAAAAAAUUAAAAAAAAAGGGGGGGAGGUCGAACGGAGCGACUCCCUCGCCGCCGCCGCCUCCCCGCCGUCGCCGGGAAGGGCCGGCAACGGAGGGGGGAGGGUCGGCCGGGGUCGCCGGCCCCCGGCCGACCGACGGCGAGGGCCCUCGCUGCCUCCCCGCAGCCGCCGGGAAGGGCCGGCGACGGAGUGGGGAGGGUCGGCCGGGGUCGCCGGACCUUGGCCAGAUCUGGCGAGGGGUAGAGGGCCCUCGCCGCCUCCCCUAAGCCGCCGGGAAGGGCCGGCGACGGAGUGGGGAGGGUCGGCCGGGGUCGCCGGGCCCUAGCCAGGGGCCGGCGAGGCCAGUCGACCGGCGGCGAGCGCCCACGAGCCCUCACCCAGAUCUGGGGCGAGGGUCGCGGCCCUCGCCGUCGGUCAACUGGGGGCCGGCGACCCCGGUCGACCCUCCCCCCUCAUCGUCGGCCCUUCCCGGCGACGGCGGCGAGGUAGCCGCCCCGUUCGACCCCCCCCCCCCCCUUUUUUAAUUUUUUUAAUUUUUAAUUUUUCUUAAUUUUUUAAAAUUUUCUUAAUUUUUUAAAAUUUCUUAAUUUUUUUAAUUUUUCUUAAAUUUUUUUAAAAAAUUGAAUAUUUUAAAUUUAAUUUAAUUAAUUUUUAUAUUAUUAUUUACACGUAGACACGAAACGGCGUCGUUUUUGCAUUUUCUCCGCUACGUCAGCAUGCAAAACGACGCCGUUUUAGACCAAGCUCGCCGGAAAGUCGCCACGUAAGCCAUUUGGCCGGAUCUUCAUCGAAGUGGCACUUAAGUGUCCCAUUUAACUUCAAAACUGACACUUAAGUGUACCAUUUUAAAGUUAUGACACUUAAGUGUCCCUCGGUGCCAAGUUAUGGCACUUGCGUUGUACUUCUGCCGUGAUCAUAGUCACAAAAGGGUGGAAGUAUCUUUGGAUGUUGAUUGGGCCAAGUCUCCUACAAAUAGGAGGUCUACAUCAAAUUAUUGCACCUUUGUAGGAGGAAACCUAGUGUCUUAGAAGAGUACAAAGCAAAGUAUUGUGACUAUAUCCAGUGCAUAAUCAGAAUAUAGACUUACGGCCUAAGUUACUCGUGAGUUAGUCCAGAUGCGUCAAUUAUUAGUUGAACUUGAAUUUAAAGAUUCUACGCUAAUGGAAUUGUGGUGUGAUUAUCAGGCAAUUAUCCAUAUAUUGCUUCAAAUUAUGUAUUUCAUGAGUGUACUAAGCCUAUUGAAGUUGAUUGUCACUUUGUCCGCGAGAAGCUUUAAGUUGGAGUUAUUUCUACUAAAGGGCUGAAUGGUUUUCUGCUAAAAAACUGUCCCUGAAGGGUUUGAAUGGGUUAUUCGCCCACUGUGGGAUGCAUACUUGCAGAAAAUUUACUCUCCUUCCCUAGUUCUAAGUCUAGGUCCAUUCAUGGUAUUAGAGCCAUGGUUUCGUUUUUAAGGUUUUCCAUUCCAUGCGCUUGGUAGGUGAAUCCAGUGCUGAGAAGAUCGUUUCUCAUCAUGUCUACAGAACCAUAAAUCCUCGAAGCACCUGUUUCUCUUGCUCCAUCUCCCUCAUCUUCCACCCCCUCAGAAUUUCAUGUCUCCAAUGAUUCUAAGAUAGAUUAUCUCUACAAAGUCUCUCUUAGUGAUGAAACCAAGAUUUCUUAAACCCAACUUCCUCUCAUGAACCUUUACUCCGCUUUUGCCAAACCCAACUCGUCAUUUUCACCCAUCCGCUCCAUUCGACAACUCAUUCAUCAUACCCCAAAGCAAGUAAAGGAGUAUGUCCAGUCCUCCAAAUUCGACCAACAUCCGAUACUUGCUACUGAAAAAGAGUACUUUGUUACUCUCCAGAUUCCUCCGGAAUUUCCUAGACAAUGGGUUCAGUGAAGAUAUUUUCAUGUCAAUUAUGGCGUUGUUCGUCUUGCUCUCACCUUUCAUGGUCGUAAAGGCUUGCCAGUUGUGGCAAUAAUUACGUUGUUGGAUACUAGGUUUUUACAAUACCAAUAUGCUUGCAUUGAUACUGUCCAAACUACUUUGAAUGCUGGAACAGUCUUUGUGACUUUGUAUCCAAGCUUCAACAUCACUCUUUCAGACCCUCAGCUACUCUCUUUCUUAAAAGUUCAAGUUCAGCUCACUGGAGCUCCUCAAACUGCUGACUCUGUAGCUGCAACACUACACUACCAGAUGGUUUAUCGAGUGCAGAACCAUGCUCUUGAUCUAAAAUUCAACAAUGGAAAUGAAGAUACUUUGUUCAUCUCCAUGCAGAAUGAUCAAGCAUCCUGCAUUCAUGUUCCUAGACAGAUUUCGAAAGAUAUGUUGGCCAAGCUCCUUCCAGAGACUUGGAUUACCAACUACGAAAAGCUGCACCAGCAUAACAAGCCUUUCCAGUCUACGGACUCUGAGUUUGUUCGGAAAAAAAGAUGGAACUGUUUCCAUCAAAUUUGGCAAGGAAAAUGAAGAAAGUCUUUUUAUCUUCCAAACCAUUUCAUGAUCAAACCAUGUGUUCCUAAAUCAAUUUCCGAGCUAGAGCCAAAAAAGCUUAUUCGACACUUUAAUAGUGAUAGACAUCCUAUCCAUUACUACAAAGACCAGUAUGGUCAUUGUUUUUGGGAUCCUUUUUGCCAAUGUUUCUAUUGUACAAAUUCCCCUGAUGAGGUAGACCCUUUUGCAAAACCUCCACCUCGACAGAAAAAACCAAAAGAUCCCAUAUACCAAAGGUACUUAAACGGAGAUCCAUCCGUUGAUACUCUUGAUGAGUGUGAUAAAUACCAGUUCAUGGUUUCAUAUGCACCACCUCCACCACUAGAGUUCAGUGCUACACCCCAAGUUCCACCAGAUCCACCAAAAUCAUCCCCACCAUCUCCUCCUCAAAAGAAGCAAGCUCUCUCUCCGUUUUAUAAGCCAAUCCUAAAAUGGGCUAAGAAGUAUUCUUACCCACUUGAGGUUCCAAUAGAAACAUCACAUACUUCUUCCAUGACCAUGUUCCAAGAAGCAAAUUUUCCUUCACUUGUCAGGGAAAGUUCAAAACUCUCGUUUCCUGCUCUAGAGGAAUUCAUUGAUCCACAAGGCAGAUAUUGUCAUGCUCCUAAGAUAGCUGCCCCCACUGAUGUAGAUGAACAUGGACGACAGAGAAGAACUCUUGCUGUUGAAGCCGUUUUAAAUUGGCAAUCGGAGACUCUGUUAGCACAAAACAAUGCCUUAAAGCAAUUGAUUCCAAGAUUGGAAAUGUGCAACAAGAUCUUCGAAAGUAUGAUGAGACCACCAAGAAAAUGAUUUCUGAAUUCCAAAAGAGGCUAAAUGCCUUGGAAUCAGGACAACAUUUAGGGUAUCAUCAUCUUGAGAGCCCCAAGUCGGAGAUAAAAAAAGUUCAAGAGGCAAAUCCAACUCCUUGAAGAAGGAAGGUUUUAGACCUUUUGAUCCACUGGCACCUCUUAUCAGAAUUAAGUAUUUGCCUCCAAAACCCCAGUCGUCUAUUUUUGCUACCAUCCCAGAAAAUUCUUUCAGAAAAGAACUAGAUAUGGCAGAAAUGCGAAAUCGUCUAAAAAAUCUACAGAAGGACAAAUGAAAAGAAAAAAUGCUUACAAAAUCAAGUUCAAUUGUUAUAAAAGAAAGGCCAAAUUAGAUGAUGUUAUCAAAUCCGCUAGAAUCUUUUCUAAAGGAUUUAGGUACUCAGAAACAACCUAAACCUGCUAUUCAACAGCCUAAUCCCGCCAUUUCAAAUGAUUAGAUUCUGCUCCCAGUCGAACAAACUGUUCCUACCACUUCUGAUACCGAAUCAGAAUCAGUAUCAUUUUCCUCCUCUUCAUCCUUUUUAAUUCCUGAUGUUGAUUCCCUUCUUGUUGCACCAGUAAAUUCAUCAAUAUUCAUGACUGAUCCUCCAGAUCAGGAUAUGGAAUCAAAUUAUUCCGAGCCAGAGAUUGUUCAGAACAAUCCGGGACACCAUGUAUCAAUGGCUUCAAAACAGUUUUUCACCAUAGAUGACAUCCCCUACCACAAAUAGCUAGAAAGACUCGAAGAGUUUCAUACUUGGUUGAAUACUCAAUCCAUUACCAAUCAUGAUAUGAAUGAUGUCAUCUACAACUUUGUCACAAGGUUCAUGGGAAGCCUUAAACUUUGGUGGAAAUCUGUGUCAGACAGACCAAAUUCAUUUUCUAAUGUCACCUGAUUUAGCCAUGUCAUCACUCUNNNNNNNNNNNNNNNNNNNNNNNNNNNNNNNNNNNNNNNNNNNNNNNNNNNNNNNNNNNNNNNNNNNNNNNNNNNNNNNNNNNNNNNNNNNNNNNNNNNNNNNNNNNNNNNNNNNNNNNNNNNNNNNNNNNNNNNNNNNNNNNNNNNNNNNNNNNNNNNNNNNNNNNNNNNNNNNNNNNNNNNNNNNNNNNNNNUAUCUUAGAUGGUUGAAAGAUCUUUUUUUGGAAGAUAGAGGAGAGUACAAGAUAUUCCCUUGGGAGAAAUACAACAAGAAAUCCAUAUGUGUCUUGAAGAAUUGUGCCUGAAGUGCUAGAUGGUCCGUACCUACAUCAUAGAUGACAGAGAACUCGAGAUAGUUUGCUCUCGCCAAAAUUUAAAGAUCAAAUAUUCCAAGAAAGACUGUGAUGGUACUUGCGGGAAGUCUUCUCUAAAGAAGAAACACUUUAAGAAGUUCUGGUUAAAGAAAUCCAAACAUGGCCACAAGCACUUCCAAAGAAAGAAGAAAUUGCGAUACCUUCGCAAGAGGAAAGAUCGCAUGGGCCAUAAAAAAUCAAAUCACUGCUUUAUCUGCAACCAGAAAGGGCAUUUUGCCAAAAAUUGCCCCAAGCUAGAAAAGGUCAGCAUCAUUUGAUACAUCAAAUUAAGAAUGAAACAGGUAUUUAUCUUUAAAAUGAUGAUAUCGAAUCACUAUUCUCUGUUGAUGAAAAAUCAGGUGAACAAACUUUUUGUGUCGUUCCAUGUUACCCCACUUCUAGUGAAAUUGAGUCAAAUUCUAAGUUUGAAGAUAUUUUUCAUAUAUCAUCUACAUCUCCAAAACCAAGCUUUGACAUAUUUUCGAGCUAGACUCAUUAUCCCCAUUUCCUUGUAAAAAUCCUUACCUUAAAGUUUGUCAAACCAAUUACUAUCAUUGCUCUCAUCAAUACUAGAGCAAGUUGUUCAAUAUUUGACACCAAAGUUCUUCCUGAAGAAUUCUGGACUCUUUAUAUCCGAUAUUUCAAUUCUGUCUCAGGAGAUACUUUCUCCACAAAUGUCAGAACCACCCCCAUAACUGUCCAGUUCUUCGCCUAGUGUUCAAUAUCCACAAAGAUCUUUGGAUCUAGUCUUCCCAACAAAGACUUAAUCAUUGGUUGGGACAUCAUGACUCAAAUUUCUCAACUUCGAAUCAUUCCUGGAAAAGAUCUUAGGUAUAAAGAUCAAUUCUCUGAGUUCGUCAAUAUUCAGAAACUAUUUUCUAUUCAAAUGAGUUUAUUAGAUCCAAUCAUGUAAAAAUUAUUGGAAUCUUGUUCAGAAUCCCAUUAUCAAUUCGCUCAGAAAUGUUCUCAUCCUCUAUUAGAAAAUCCAAAGUUUUUUGUUCGUCUUCCAUUAAAAAAGAACGAAGACAUCAAUCCAACAAAGGCGAGUCAUAUGGGAAUGAAGUCAGAACACUUGGCUUUAGCUCAAAGGGAAUGCUCAGAACUAUUGUAGUAAGGCCUUAUUGAAACCUCCAAUUCUCAAUGGGCUUGUAAAGCAUUUUAUGUCAAUAAGUGUGCCGAGCAAAACAAGGGAAAAAUGAGGCUAGUGAUCAACUAUCAACCCCUCAACAUUUUUUUCCAAUAUAAUAAAUUCCCUUUACCCUCCAGAGAUUCCCUCUUUAUUGGUCUAACCAAUGCCCACAUUUAUUCCAAAUUUGACCUCUUAUCGCCUAUAAAAAGUGAGGAGGGUGUAAUGUGUUGGGCAGAAUCCCUUGAAGUAAAGUGUGUGCUUUGUGAAAAAAAACCUCUCUAUGGCUUUCUAAAUUCAUCUUCUUCUCCAGCCCGAUAGAAUCCUCCAAGAAAUGCAGCUUGGGUAGGUUAAAAACGUUUCUAUCCUAACAUCUUUGAGUGUCUCUAGACUCUGAACUAAAGGGCUGAGUGGUGUUUUACUAAAAGACUGUCCCUGAAGGGCUUGAACGGGUUGUUCACCCACUGUGGAAUGCAUACCUAUAGAAAAUUUACUCUCCUUCCCCGAUUCUAAGUCUAGGACCAAUGAUCAAAUAUUUGAUAUUUUCACUAAGUCUUUUUAGGCAGUAGUAAAGUUAAGUAUAUUUAUAACAAGUUAGGCAUGCUCCAUCCUGAGAGAGAGUGUUAAAGUAUCAGAGGAUUAUUAUAGUUAUUAACACUAAGAAGGUUAUUAUAAUCAUCUGGGAUACACAUGAUAACUAUUCUUUUUCUUUGUUUUUCUAUCUUUCUAUUUCCAGAAACAAGUUUGGAAUAAAAAAUGUGUUUAUCCAUUUGAUAAUGUAAUUUCAUUUUUCUAUUUCUAAAAUAAAUUUUAACUCCAUAAAUAGGUUGGGAAAAAAUGAGUGAAAAUUUUAUACUUUUCUAUUUUUAGAACAAAAAUGAAAAAUAAAAACUCUUCUCGAUUGUCGUCAGUUGUCUCACCAGUUGCCUGCCACCACCCCACUCAUUGUUGGUCGCUCGCCUCCGGUCAUCAUUGCCCGCCUACCUCUCAUCACCACUUGGGAAGAAGAAAUUUUGCAUUAUUAUUAAACAAAUUUCUAUUCUAAGAAUAUAAAUUUUAUGAUUGUAAAAUAGAUAUUUUUGCUCAGAAAUUGAAGCCAAAUUUGGUAACAUUUCUAUUCCUCUAUUUUUAUGUUCUUUUGUUCCCCAUAAAAAGUCCACUUCAAGCUCUUAUUUGAAAAAUUAAUGACAUUUCGGAUCUUUAUUUAAGAAAAUGAUGACACUUCAAGCCCUUAUUAAGAAAUCUAUGUCUAAAUAGAAACUGUUCCCGUUAACGUAAUCAAAUACCACCGAAAUGGCCAGAAAUAAAUUUCUGAAACAGAAUGUUUAUCAUUCGACCCUAAGUCUUAUUUAACUAAUAUUAAAAGUGCGAGUGGCAAACAUUAAUCAGUUUGUAUGCUCUCCUCUUGUCCCCUAUCAAUUUCUACACUAAGAAAGAAGAAAAAUUUUAAUAUAGUAGAUGACAACUACUAAUAACAGCAGCGCCCA
rnacentral:lncRNA from 1 species